rnacentral:rRNA from 1 species
GACGAACGCUGGCGGCGUGCCUAAUACAUGCAAGUAGAACGCUGAAGAGAGGAGCUUGCUCUUCUUGGAAGAGUUGCGAACGGGUGAGUAACGCGUAAGUAACCUGCCUUGUAGCGGGGGAUAACUAUUGGAAACGAUAGCUAAUACCGCAUAACAAUGGAUGACCCAUGUCAUUUAUUUGAAAGGGGCAACUGCUCCACUCCAAGAUGGACCGGGGUGGUAUUAGCUAGUAUGUGAGGUAACGGCUCACCUAGGCGACGAUACAUAGCCGACCUGGGAGGGUGAUCGGCCACACUGGGACUGAGACACGGCCCAGACUCCUACGGGAGGCAGCAGUAGGGAAUCUUCGGCAAUGGGGGCAACCCUGACCGAGCAACGCCGCGUGAGUGAAGAAGGUUUUCGGAUCGUAAGGCUCUGUUGUAAGUCAAGAACGAGUGUGAGAGUGGAAAGUUCACACUGUGACGGUAGCUUACCAGAAAGGGACGGCUAACUACGUGCCAGCCGCCGCAGUAA